rnacentral:rRNA from 1 species
ACUCCUACGGGAGGCAGCAGUGGGAAUCUUAGACAAUGGGCGCAAGCCUGAUCUAGCCAUGCCGCGUGAGUGAUGAAGGCCCUAGGGUCGUAAAGCUCUUUCGCCAGGGAUGAUAAUGACAGUACCUGGUAAAGAAACCCGGCUAACUCCGUGCCAGCAGCCGCGGUAAUACGGAGGGGUUAGCGUUGUUCGGAAUUACUGGGCGUAAAGCGUACGUAGGCGGAUUAGAAAGUUAGGGGUGAAAUCCCAGGGCUCAACCCUGGAACUGCCUCUAAAACUACUAGUCUAGAGUUCGAGAGAGGUGAGUGGAACUCCGAGUGUAGAGGUGAAAUUCGUAGAUAUUCGGAAGAACACCAGUGGCGAAGGCGGCUCACUGGCUCGAUACUGACGCUGAGGUACGAAAGUGUGGGGAGCAAACAGGAUUAGAUACCCUGGUAGGCUCUGC